UCGAGUCGCAGGUGUUCCUCGACUCGAUUACGGAAAACGACUUCCAGGCCGGAUUCCACAAGUGGUAGGAACGCUGAGACCGGUGUAUUGAUGCACAAGGAAGAAGAUGGUUUUAAAACUUAGGUACAUAAUUUACUUUUUUAUUAAACAUAACUAGUCCGGGAACAUUUUUUACCACUAUCGUAUAUACGAAGGGUGUAUGAAAAAGUCUUGAGCCUCAAAAAAACAAUACAUGGUACGAAACUUCUGAUGAAGGUACAAAACUUCAAGGCUCAAAACGUUUCAUACACCCCUAGUAUAUAAAGAGAGAUAGACAGAUACAUACAUGCAUACAUACAUCUUUUACUGGUUUCAGUCAUUAAACAGCAGCCAUGCUAUGGCACCGAUUUCAAGAACACAGGCAUUCUUUCAAAGCUUCAAUGAUAUCAAGCCCCUUUGGAGCGAGUGAUACUGUCGGUAGGUAUCGAAACAAAUAUGAUAGUUAAUCUACAGCUGAUGAAGAGUCUGUCCUGCAGUGUAAGUGUAAGCUGUACACACAGACAUAUAUAGCGGCAUUCAUACAUACAUACAUUCAUACAUACAUACAUACAUACAUACAUACACACAUUCAUACACACAUUCAUACACACAUUCAUACACACAUACAUACACACAUACAUACACACAUACAUACACACAUACAUAUAUUGAUUGGUAGUGUUACUAUGUACAUGUUUUGUCUUGGUAAUUCAGGUGGAUGAGCUUUAUACUGUACUCUACCACGUUCUCAAUGGGAUAUAUAUAUAUAUAUAUAUAUAUAUAUAUAUAUAUAUAUAUAUAUUUUAUGAAUAAACUUGAAAUUGCGUAAAGCAAGCAGAAAUACAUAAAAUUUAUGAUAUAUAUAUAUAUACACAUACAUAUACGCAUGUCUGUAUAUGUAUAUAUUUAUAUGUAUGUAUAUUGGUACAUAGAUAGAUAUCUAUAUAUAUAAUAUAUGAAUGUAUAUAUCGUACUGCUAUAUAGUAUUUAGUGUUUUUAUUAUCUACAUACCGUAAAAUAAUUGCUAUGCCACAACAAUUAACAUAUAUGAAUAUGCAUGCAUUCGGUUUAGAAUUCUAUCGGACAAACUUUCAAACGCUUAUACAUAUGAUUACAGCAACCACGGUAGGAUAAACGCAAGCAACAAGUGUGUCUAUGUAUAUGAUGGGCGUAUAGCAAUAUAUGAAUUGUAGAGGUGACAGGCAGUUGGACUAUUUUAUUCCAAAGCUUAAAGUGUAGUCUUCUGCGUUCGAUGUUUUUUUUAAGAUAAUUUACUCUGCGUUACUUCUGUUCACAAAGCUGAAACUUCGAAGUCACUGCCUAACGUUUUUUCAAAACACACACACGUGUGUGUGUCAGUAUGUGUGUUUGCGUGUGCGUGCGUGUAUGUGUGUGUGUGUGUGUGCGAGCGUGUGUGUGUGUGUGAGUGUGUGUGUGAGUGUGUGUGUGUGUGUGUGUGUGUGUGUGCGUGCGUGUGUGUGCGUGCGUGUGUGUGUGUGUGUGUGUGUGUGUGUGUGUGUGUGUGUGUGUGUGUGUGUGUGUGCAUCGACGUAUCGUCUUUCAUCUUCUGCAAUGCAUCGUGUUCAUAAUCCAUUUGUGAAUCAAGGACACAAUCCGUGACUUCUCUUUCUGCGCAAAUCAGUUCGUCUGCACCAGGGGUUCUCAACCAUUUUUUAUCAAUGGAUCCCUUUGAUUACCAUUCUAUUCUGGGGGAGCCCCGUAAACAUCUGAUGUUUAAAAACUAGUUUUAUAGAUAUUUUUCUCCAAAUUCUUAUUUUAUUUUUCACAUUGUGUAGACUGAACUAUAUAAAACGUAAGACAAAGAAACCAAUCUGUCUCUUGCAACAAAUACACCCAAAGCAAAAUUUUCUCAAGGGCCCUUAAAAUGCUAUAAUGGGUCCCCAGCUUACUAUUUUGUUGCGGGGAUUCCCAAUAAUCUUUUAUGAGCCUCAGGGCUCAUAUGAACCCCUGGUCUACUCCCUGGUGAUUAUGAGCAGGAGAACGGCUGACUUCGUUAAGGUAAACAUGAAUAGAACAAUGAAUGAAUUUAGCCAAUGAGUGACCCUCAUUGUGAACCUCAGAACGGUAAACAUAUCAAGUGCCACGCUUAAAAUACACACGAAUCCGUCUGAGCCAUUCAAAAAGAAAAAGCAAAUAGAAUCUUGUUGCACAUUCGCGCCAGACCUAGCAAUCCAUCGAACUUGGUCAAGUAUUUGCAGCGAUAAGUAUUUGCAGAAAAAUUAGAGCAUCGUCUUUCGAGGAAGUCCCCUUCAAAAGGGUUCGAACCACCAUCACAGCCGCCGCUACCACCACUACAACUACACAGUUUGUCAGUGUUUGUGGUUACUCGAGUAAAAAGUGAUGCUGUUUAUUGAAUAACUUAACUAGUCGAUAAAUAUCGAUCGAUAGAAAUAGGCACCGGAUACGGCCAACUAAAAACGCUUACGACGAAGCUCUUGUUGGGGCACCGUCCAAUGACUGC
rnacentral:lncRNA from 1 species